rnacentral:lncRNA from 1 species
GCUUUCCUUCUCGAGAAUGCGCCGGGCAUCUAGCUGUAGAAGGUAGUAUGGAGAUUCACUAAUAUUCAAGUAGUUUAUCGAUUUUUGACUGUUGGAAUAUAAAUGAUUGCAAGAAUAUAUCGUAAAUCUAUACGAAUGUCCUUGGACUGCUCACCAAAAUCCUUUUUGCCUCAGCCGGUAGGUCUCUAGACGUUACAAAGAAUCCCGAACAACCCAAUCUGCUAAUCUUCGAUACCGCUUUAUACUCACGAUCUUGUAUCCACUGACUG